CCUACGGGAGGCAGCAGUGGGGAAUUGUUCGCAAUGGGCGCAAGCCUGACGACGCAACGCCGCGUGGAGGACGAAGACCUUCGGGUCGUAAACUCCUGUCGAGUGGGACGAAUGACCUGGCCGUGAAUAGCGGCUGGGAAUGACGGUACCGCGAGAGGAAGCCCCGGCUAACUCCGUGCCAGCAGCCGCGGUAAUACGGGGGGGCAAGUGUUGUUCGGAAUUACUGGGCGUAAAGGGCUCGUAGGCGGCUCUCUAAGUCGGUGGUGAAAUCCCCCGGCUCAACCGGGGAAGGGCGUCCGAGACUGGGGAGCUUGAAUCCGGGAGAGGGACGUGGAAUUCCAGGUGUAGCGGUAAAAUGCGUAGAUAUCUGGAGGAACACCGGUGGCGAGGGCGGCGUCCUGGACCGGUAUUGACGCUGAGGAGCGAAAGCCAGGGGAGCAAACGGGAUUAGAUACCCUAGUAGU
rnacentral:rRNA from 1 species